UUUAAGAAUCUCAUUUUUAAUAAAUCAUCAAAAGUACACAUAUCUACAAAAAGUGUAGAUCAAUAAGAUUUACGAAACUACAGUACAAUCAUUGUAGAUCUUAUUUACAAUUGCUGAAUUAUUUACUUUAUUCCACAUGAAGCCCAUCAGUAAUCAGCAAAGAAAGCCAAUUGUAGUUCAGGAAUGCUUAAGAUAUGUGAACACAGAACUGUCACAUUUGCAAAAGGGAGAGAACUGAUUUUAACUGAGAGUGAUUUUAAGAAACAGCCGAAACAAAUUUAAACCAGCAAAGCUGACAUUUCCUUAAAUCCACAGGAAAACCGUUUUGUUACAGGUUUGAUUGGAUGACUCUUCAGCACCACUUCAAAGGACCAGCUUAUCUGGCCUUUGACGUGAUUUGCUCAAUUUCCUAUUUUUUGUCCUCUGAUGAGCUCUCAAUGUAAUUGCAUGGAGUGACAGCAGAAAAUAAUAAAACAAGAUCAAGGAUCCUCUGCACAAUUCUAAUCUCAAAUAAAGCUCAUUAAGUCAACUGUGCAAAGCCUUUUGAGGUUUCCUACGCACCAAGAAUGCAUAGAUUAGAUGGUCAUAAUACUGGACCAAAACAACACAGGAGGAGAGGUGGAAGAAGGUGGUUUCCAAAAGCAUCAGAAUCUACGCAAAUGCAUAACAAAAAAAAAAAAAAAAAAGUUCAAUCACUAAGUGGGAAUGUUGUGAAAACAAAAAGAAAAUGUCUAGAUUUCUGGUUUCAGUGCUCAGAUGUUUUAAAGAAGCCCAGAGAGGCUCUGUGGAAAUCUUGUGCAUGCAAAUUCUUUGCUUUCAGUUAAGACUUGCAAUAAACACAGACAAUAAAUGUUAAGAAAUCUUUUUUUUCCCCAAAACAGAAAGAAAAAGGAAGAAAAGUGCAUAAUCAAGAAGAACAUAAAAGGGCACUUUGUCAUUUUGGUGCUAUGAUUUCUUUCACUCCAUAAAUACUGCUACAGCACAGCACAUAUCCAAGGCCCAGGAAACAGUUGUGUUUAUGUUCCCCCAUUGGAACAGACAACCGGAACAAGUACAAAUGCAUAAAACCACACUUUCACCAUUGCUGUGACUCUUUCUGCUGUGUAGCUGAAGUUGCCUCCAGGUGGUCAGUGUAGGUAUUGCUAAAACAGUGUGGAAAGCAACAUGAAAAAGGAGCAUGUGUGUGCCCUUAAAUUACCCCCCUUUCUAAAAACCCAACCCUACUGCAGACAUGUGAACACAAGAGAAAAAUCAGGGCUCUUUCAUACAUUACAUUGCACAUUAAAGAGGACUGGAAUGUUUUAGCAGAAGACGCGAGAAGAAAGGACACGUAAACCCCACUGUGGAUAUGAUGAGUGACAUGUGCUGGCAUUACUCUGUAAUACGGUGAAUCAUAAUCAAUUUUUUUAUUUAUAUAUAUAUAUAUAUAUAUAUAUAUAUAUAUAUAUAUA
ensembl:lncRNA